GGGGUGUUUAAGACAGCUGUCUGAAAGGAGGAUCCAGAGGGAAACAACCACACAGGCUGUGGUUAUAGCUACUGUCAUGACACAGUACAAAGUCAUCUCAUUUCUGUAGUGUAACAAUUUUAAUUUACAGAACAUUGCCCAAUUGCAUUACAUUUAGUGCAAAUGAUAACACUUUAGACGUAUAACUUAAAUAUACAAAGCGUGUCCAUUCCUUAAAGACAAUUAAAAAUUGCUAAAUGCAUUCUUCAGAUUGGAUUCUGUGAACUAUGAUCCCUUUAGGCUGAAAAGUGGAUUCUAACCUCAGCCUUAGCGACAUGUUCAUUGAAAAAUCACAAGUUUAAACGAAAUCAAAAAACAAACAAAUAAAAUUGAGGUAACAAAACCUUGUGACAUGUGGACAACCAGUGUAGUGAGAUUCUAACUGCACCACUGGUCCUGUGAUACUGUAGUAGAAUGAAGCCUCUCAGGGCUCAGUAGGUGGGUCCUUGGCUCCAAGGCAUUACGAAAAGUUCAAAGACGGGGAGAUGUGUUGGUAUGUGAAAGGUCAUGUGAUCCAAACAACCCCUCUAUCCUAUAAGCCUUUUAAGCCACAAAGGGGUUCCAUUUGAACAUCCAAAGCUGUGCUAAACUGUAAACUAGCAAUAUAGCUUGUAUGUUAAUUGGACAUAAGAUGAGGUGGGGACAAACAGUAGAGACAAACAUUUGAUACCAGUGUUUAUGGGUCACAUUCAACAAUCUCAGCCAUCCAUACUGUCAAUUCUUCGUUGUCAUCAUAAAGAUUACUUAGAAAAAUAGAGACAAGUUUUCUCUUCCAGUUCACCAAUCCCAUUAGUUUUUUCUUUCAAGCCAUUAACAAUCAAUUCACAUUACAUACACUGGUAAAUUAAUUCUGUCUCUGUACAAUACAUCCAUAGUGCUUCUUUACAGCUAUAUUGAUCUACAAAUCUAGAGAUUUUAGCCUAAGGGAGUGUACAAAGCUCCCCCCCCCCCCCCUCAGACCAUCAUCCCGGUCGUCACUAGAGGGACUAGACCAGAGGAAGGUAGCCAUUCUCACUACGCCACUGUAUGCUUCUUUCUUUUUCCUAGCAAAAUUAGCAGCAUGAAAAGAAGCUUUGAUGAUGACUGUUAAAGCUAACAAACAAGUAUAGUCAAAAAUAAUGUAAUAAUUGGAAAUGUACAAAACAAUUUACAAAAAGCAGAGUUGGUUCUGUCGAUUCAAAAAUCGCCAUAGACAUUUUUAAACGUAUAUACAAAUCCAUAUCCAUGGACAGCUGGACGACCUUCAUUUCUGGGGCUCAGGUAACUACAAAUUGAAUAAACCAGUCAACACAUUUCAUCUGGAACAUUCUGGAUGGUGGUAUCAUGGGUAAUGUAGUUUGUAGCCCCUUGGGAAAUGUAGCCAUGUCUCUUCAGGACAAAAAGGUAUUUUUGCCUCCCAACACCUGUGAGA
ensembl:lncRNA